rnacentral:rRNA from 1 species
AGCGAACGCUGGCGGCAGGCCUAACACAUGCAAGUCGAACGAACACUUCGGAGUUAGUGGCGGACGGGGGAGUAACACGUGGGAACGUGCCCUUAGGUUCGGCAUAACUCAGGGAAACUGGUGCUAAUACCGAAUGUGCCCUACGGGGGAAAGAUUUAUCGCCUUUAGAGCGGCCCGCGUCUGAUUAGCUAGUUGGUGAGGUAAAGGCUCACCAAGGCGACGAUCAGUAGCUGGUCUGAGAGGAUGAUCAGCCACAUUGGGACUGAGACACGGCCCAAACUCCUACGGGAGGCAGCAGUGGGGAAUCUUGCGCAAUGGGCGAAAGCCUGACGCAGCCAUGCCGCGUGAAUGCUGAAGGUCUUAGGAUUGUAAAAUUCUUUCAACGGGGACGAUCAUGACGGUACCCGGAGAAGAAGCCCCGGCUAACUUCGUG